rnacentral:rRNA from 1 species
UACGAGGGGGGCGAGCGUUGUUCGGAAUUACUGGGCGUAAAGCGCACGUAGGCGGCUCUUUAAGUCGGUGGUGAAAUCCUGGAGCUCAACUCCAGAACUGCCUUCGAUACUGGAGAGCUUGAGUCCGGGAGAGGUGAGUGGAACUGCGAGUGUAGAGGUGAAAUUCGUAGAUAUUCGCAAGAACACCAGUGGCGAAGGCGGCUCACUGGCCCGAUACUGACGCUGAGGUGCGAAAGCGUGGGGAGCAAACAGG